AUAUUGGUGUAUGUAUUGAAAAAAAUCUAAGUGGGUCCAUCACUAUGUGGGAUUUAUUACUGAUUGAGAACAGAUCCAAUAACAAAGUAUUUGUAUGCAUCCAGACUUUGAUACACUUUCGACCUUUUCUGUGUAAAUCUCGACAACUUCCUCACCAAAUCCAUGUGUAGAUCCAGUUGUCCAAGAUAAGCGGAAGUGAAUUAACAGUCCGAUUUCUUAUCGGUGAAAACAUCGACUUCGGCAUUAAAUAUGGGUCCUUUACGCCAAGUGUCUCAUAUUUACACGUACCUUCGUUUAUUAUCACCUUCUAAAUGUUUAACGGUAUCGGACAAAACUCUGGAUGUCGUGCUAUAAGACAUAUUUUCGUUUUGUCUCGACAGAAUUAAGUUGCAACAAUGCUUUGUUUGACCAGCAAUAUGGCCAGUCACAUGAUUUUUUUUUUUGACGUAGGAGCACGAGCUCGAUACAGGAUGUUCACGGUGGCAAAAUCACAUGUGACAGAUGAAACUGAUUCAAUUUCUUUAUUAUUAUUUUUUUAACUAGAUACCACUAGUGCUACUUGUAGAUAAAGACUUCCGGACAUGUUACACCAUCAUGCAGCAGCAAGGUAAGCCAUAAAAAUCCAAAUAUAGCACUUGUGCUGGACAAUGUGUGUGUGUGUGUAGGUGUGCGUAUGUCGUCAGGCCUCAUCAAAUAGGGAGGGUCCCGGAUGGUGGUGGCUGAUAAAAAGAGAUUUGAAAACUGGUAACCACGGUCAUCCUGGUGUUGAUUCUAAAACUCUCAGACCCUCUUUUGGAGACAUCCCCUUGAUUUUCUUUCCCCAAACCUCAACUCAAACAGGAUGAAAGUGGAUCUACUCGCCCUGACCCUACACAUUCUCUGUACAGUCAUGCUGUGCAGAGGGCAGACAACGACACCUGGUCCAAUCUCGACUUCCCCUACAACAGCCUCGACUACAUCUGCUCCAACCUCAACUCAACCAAGUACAACCCUAACUACACCUCAUCCAGGCUCGACGACACCUAAGCCAGGAUCAACUACAGCCUCAACUGAACCAAGUACAACCCCAACUACACCUCAUCCAGGCUCGACGACACCUAAGCCAGGAUCAACUACACCCCCAACUGCUCCAACUACCCCACCAAGAGAGACCACCCCCGUCACUGAUGGUCACGGGGGAGGUGGGUCCGAAGGGCUUUCAGAUGGUGCCAUCGCGGGCAUCACCAUUGGUUCUCUUGCCGGUGUGGCAGCUGUUGGUGGCGGUAUUUUUGGAGUACUGAAGUACACUGGGAGAGUGUGAAAAUCAACAUUGUCUCUAAGAUUAAGUUUUUAAAACAACUACUAACAAUCAAAGAACACUUUUAAUUACAUUGUUUAGUUUUUGAAGUGGAAAAAAAGGGCUAAUCGUAU